GGUGUAGCUCAGUGGCAGAGCACUUGCCUUGAAUGCAUGAAGACCUGGGUUCAAUCCCCAGAACCA
rnacentral:tRNA from 1 species